rfam:Sorghum bicolor cultivar BTx623 chromosome 5, whole genome shotgun sequence.
CCCCUGGAUGAUGAAGAACUGGCGGCGCACAUCUGCAAUGGUCUUGAUGCUGAUUACAACUCAGUGGUGAUGUCGGUCACCGCUAGGGCUGAUCCCAUCUCGAUUUAUGAGCUAUAUGCCCAAUUGCUCAGUUUUGAGA